CCUACGGGAGGCUGCAGUGGGGAAUAUUGGACAAUGGGGGCAACCCUGAUCCAGCCAUGCCGCGUGUGUGAAGAAGGCCCUCGGGUUGUAAAGCACUUUCAGUGAGGAAGAACGCCUGGUGGUUAAUACCCAUCAGGAAAGACAUCACUCACAGAAGAAGCACCGGCUAACUCCGUGCCAGCAGCCGCGGUAAUACGGAGGGUGCGAGCGUUAAUCGGAAUUACUGGGCGUAAAGCGCGCGUAGGUGGCUUGAUAAGCCGGUUGUGAAAGCCCCGGGCUCAACCUGGGAACGGCAUCCGGAACUGUCAAGCUAGAGUGCAGGAGAGGAAGGUAGAAUUCCCGGUGUAGCGGUGAAAUGCGUAGAGAUCGGGAGGAAUACCAGUGGCGAAGGCGGCCUUCUGGACUGAAACUGACACUGAGGUGCGAAAGCGUGGGUAGCAAACAGGAUUAGAUACCCGAGUAGUC
rnacentral:rRNA from 1 species